GGCUUGUUGCGCCUGCUGUGAAAACGCGGGGCUUAACUUCGCGCGUGCAGUGGGUACGGGCAGGCUUGAGUGUGGUAGGGGUGACUGGAAUUCCAGGUGUAGCGGUGGAAUGCGCAGAUAUCUGGAGGAACACCGAUGGCGAAGGCAGGUCACUGGGCCAUUACUGACGCUGAGGAGCGAAAGCAUGGGUAGCGAACAGGAUUAGAUACCCUGGUAGUCCAUGCUGUAAACGUUGGGAACUAGGUGUGGGGGGCCUUUCCAGGUUUUCUGCGCCGUAGCUAACGCAUUAAGUUCCCCGCCUGGGGAGUACGGCCGCAAGGCUAAAACUCAAAGGAAUUGACGGGGGCCCGCACAAGCGGCGGAGCAUGCGGAUUAAUUCGAUGCAACGCGAAGAACCUUACCAAGGCUUGACAUACACCGCGGGAUCGCAGAGAUGUGGUUGCAUUUGGUUGGUGGUGUACAGGUGGUGCAUGGUUGUCGUCAGCUCGUGUCGUGAGAUGUUGGGUUAAGUCCCGCAACGAGCGCAACCCUUGUCUCGUGUUGCCAGCAUGUUGUGGUGGGGACUCACGAGAGACUGCCGGGGUUAACUCGGAGGAAGGUGGGGAUGACGUCAAAUCAUCAUGCCCCUUAUGUCUUGGGCUUCACGCAUGCUACAAUGGCCGGUACAGAGGGUUGCGAUAUCGCAAGGUGGAGCGAAUCCCUUAAAGCUGGUCUCAGUUCGGAUCGGGGU
rnacentral:rRNA from 1 species